UCUAUACUCUGCAUUCCAGCUAAUAUUUUAUUUUAAGUGUCCCUUAUAUUUGGGGCAGGUUUGGGAGACUCCGAUGUUAUACCAUAUUUCCUGAUAAAAUCAUGUUCAGCAAUUUUUUUUAAUCCCUUGAUAUUGCUAUUUAUCCCUAGAUGGUGUUCAAUGACAAAAGCCAAAUUAUUUGCAGAACUCCAGGACAUGCAUCUUUCUGCUGAGAAAACCAGUCAUUAUCAAAACCAACAGAAUUUGAAACAGUAUCUACAAUGUAAGAGUUCAGUACAUUUGGUUGGUUGACAAAGAGGGAGAGCUUUGUGGUAGAUGAUUCCAGAGGAAGAAGAAAGAAAAUGAACCAUGGGAGAGAAACAAGGUAAACACAAAACAGAAAUGUUUCUUGUUCAAGGGCAAAGAAAUACUCUCA
rnacentral:lncRNA from 1 species